CAAGGACCAUCCCCGCCUGUCAAUGUGUGUUUCCUGGACAGUCCUCUAAGAAUCACUGAAUACCUUGUUUAAUUUGUAUCUUAAUGACUCUUAUGUCCAGACAAAUACCUCCUUCCUUGCCUCCUGAGAAAGAAUUACAGCAUUCUUCUCCCACUUAUAAAUCCUAAAAAUUCAUUCUUGUUUCCUCGUAUUCUAACUUGUUCUCCAAAGAACCUCGGAAUUACAUGAACGUGCUCUAUCCCCAGUAAAAAAGCUCUCUCUCACCCUGUGCCAAACACCCUCCUUUCUGACUGCUUCUACUAAACUUGAAAUUACCUAUCUGAGAGCACUUUGGCCAGGAGAGUGAAUUCAUCUUCCAUGACAGCUACACCUUAGGUUUCACCUCUGCCAUCACCUUUCCACCCUCCUCUACUAUAAAGAAAACAAACCUUUAGAAACCCUAUAUGUCUGGUACUGGAAGUGGGAGAAGAGUCAGAAAUAAGUUUUGUUUAUAUAGCAGAGUCUACCCUCCCCACCCUCCUUCCAGCCAUAACUUUGUCUUGCCUGUGUUGGGUACUCCAAGAACCCACUGUCUAUAAAAGAGACUCUUCCAUCCUAAAAGUCAAAGGAUGAAAGACCAAGAAUGUGCAGAGACAGAGACUGGAUCCUCACUGCCUGGGUGCUAGCCAUGAAUCUGGACCAAUGUAGGAGAAUGACUGGCCCGGGGGGGGGGAAAUAAUGUCAUUAAGUCCAUGGGCAUGUGGCAUCUUAGCUGCAAGGGGACAGUUCAAGGAUGAGAUGAGAUGACAAAGUGUCAAAAGUUAAGACUCAGACUGAAGAGUAUGAUUUACGGGAGACAAGCUGCUCAGAAGAGUGUUGCAAGAUCAUUAAGAAAAGUUGUUCAGAUGCAAAUUAAAACUACACUGAGAUUCCAUCUCACUUUAGUCACAAUGGCAAUUAUCAAGAAUACAAACAACAAUAAAUGUCGGCGAGGAUGUGUGGAAGAGGCACAUUCAUACAUUGCUGGUGGGACUGAAAAUUGGGGCAACCACAAUGGAAAACAACAAGGAGAUUCCUUAGAAAACUUGGAAUGGAACCACCAUUUGACCCAGCUAUCCCACUCCUUGGUUUAUACCCCAAGGACUUAAAAUCAGCAUAUGACAGUGACACAGCCACAUUAAUGUUUAUAGCAGCUCAAUUCACAAUAUCAAAGCUAUGGAACCAACCUAGGUGCUCUUCAACAGAUGAAUGGAUAAAGAAAAUGUGAUCUAUAGACACAAUGGAAUUUUACUCAGCCAUAAAGAAGAAGAAAAUUAUGGAAUUUGCCAGUAAAUGGAGGGAACUGGAGACUAUCAUGCUAAGUGAAAUAAGCCAGUCCCAAAAAAACAAGUCUAAAUGUUCUGUCUGAUGAUUGGAUGAUAACACACAAUAAGUGUGUAUGUGUGGGGGGUGAAGAAUAGAAGUUCAUUGGAUUAGACAAAGAGGAAUGAAGGAAAGGGAUGGGAAAUGGGAUUAGGAAAGACAGUAGAAUGAAUCAGACAUAACUUUGCUAUGUUCAUAUGUGAAUAAACAACUAGUGAAACUCCACAUCAUGUACAACCACAAGAAUGGGAUCCUAACUGGGAUAAGUUAGACUCCAUGUAUGUAUAAUAUGUCAAAAUACACUCUACUGUCAUGUAUACCUAAAAAAAAAACAAAUUAAAAAUUACAUUAAAAAAAAUAAAGCAUUGGGCUAGGGAUGUGGCUCAAGCGGUAGCACGCUCGCCUGGCAUGGUUGAGGCCCAGGUUCGAUCCUCAGCACCUCAAACAAACAAAGAUGUUGUGUCCGCCGAAAACUAAAAAAUAAAUAUUAAAAA
rnacentral:lncRNA from 1 species